rnacentral:misc_RNA from 1 species
GAUGAAGAACGUAGCGAAAUGCGAUAAGUAAUGUGAAUUGCAGAAUUCAGUGAAUCAUCGAAUCUUUGAACGCACAUUGCGCCCUCUGGUAUUCCGGGGGGCAUGCCUGUUCGAGCGUCAUUGCUGCCCUCAAGCACGGCUUGUGUGUUGGGCCUCCGUCCUCCUCCCGGGGGACGGGCCCGAAAGGCAGCGGCGGCACCGCGUCCGGUCCUCGAGCGUAUGGGGCUUCGUCACCCGCUCUUGUAGGCCCGGCCGGCGCUUGCCGACACAUCAAUCUUUUUUCCAGGUUGACCUCGGAUCAGGUAGGGAUACCCGCUGAACUUAAGCAUAUCAAUAAGCGGAGGA